CGUAACGUCAUCCUGUGGUUGUUUUGCAUUGUUUUGUUUGUGUUUUUCGUGAAAAUUAAUUAAUUGCAUUGCAUUGCAGCCAUCCUAUUUCAGAAAUACGUAGUGUGAUUAACCAUUAACCGAUUGUAACAAUGGCAGGGGUGCCAAGUGACUGGCAGCUGGGCUGUACGGAGAUGAAGCAGCGAGGCGCUCAUUUGCUUCAGUCUGGGCAGUGGUCAGACUGUACUUUCCUGGUGGGGACUGAACCCAACCAGGUGCAGGUGCCCGGCCACAAGCUGGUACUUGCGAUGGCUUCGCCGGUGUUUGAAGCCAUGUUCUACGGGGGCAUGGCUGAGAGAAAUGAUCCCAUUCCUAUCUUAGAUGUUCAGCCUGAAGCCUUCAAAGCACUAUUAGAGUACAUUUACACAGACAAUAUAAACAUCAGUUCAUUUGACAAGGCAUGUGAACUAUGCUACGGAGCCAAGAAGUACAUGCUGCCACAUCUGGUGAAGGAGUGCACUCGGUAUCUGUGGUCAGACCUUUACCCAAGGAAUGCUUGCCGCGCCUAUGAGUUUGCUCGGCUCUUUGAGGAGAAUGUGCUGAUGGAUAAAUGCAUACAGAUCAUCAGCACAAACACAAAAGAAGUAUUAAACGACAGCAGCUUUGAAGAGGUUGAGCUAAACACGUUAAUCACCGUGUUCUCCUUGGACCACUUAAACGUGGAUAGUGAACUGGAUCUGUUUGAGGCAGCGGUGCGCUACGCUAAGGCUCAGGGCAAGCGGUGCUCAGAGCGAAGCGUCAGCCCACCUACUGAUAACGGGCCACCAUCACAGAAAAGGAGUAAAAGUCCUGAGCCUUCUACAUCUAAUGAAAAGGAAUUAAACGUAGAAAGCAGUGUCGAGAGCAGUGCAGAGAACAGUCCAGAAAGUGCAAUGGAGCUGUGCAAGGCAGCCGAGCCAGAGCAGACCAACCCAGGGCCUUCCAAUGAAGAUAAGAAGAAUAAAGGAGAAAACAAAGACAAGCUGACCAUCCGCAGCGCGAUCGAGAAGAUCCGUUUCCUGACGCUGACGGCCACGCAAUUCGCGGCCGGGCCCGCGCGCUCCGCCCUGCUCACCGAGUCCGAGGCUUUCGCAGUCCUUAUGAAUAUCCUGUCCAGCGCUGCUGAUGUCCCCAUGCCUACUGGCUUCUCUACUUGUCGCGUUCCGAGGAAACAGCUGAUCGGUGGCGGACCGUCUACUAGUAUGCCGACGUUCACGGUGGACACGCCGAGCCCGGUGACGGUGGAGCAGGUUUUCGGCAUGGAGCUGUCGCGGCCGGCGCCGCCGCACGCCUGCCUGCACGCCGCGCGCCGCCCAGACCACGCGCUGCCCUGCGCGCCGCAAGCCGGCGUGCGCGUGCCGCCGGUGAUGGCGGAGCGGCUGGAGCACGUGGAGCGGCACAGCGCGGAGUUCAGCAAGCUGUACUGCACGCGCGCCAUUAUCCAGCACACCGAGUGCUACAACGCCUCCGUGCUCGACUGCUCCGUCACCUUCAUGGUGGACAAGAACAUCUGUCUGCUGGGCGUGCAGGUGCCGACGCAAGCGCCGUGCGAAGAAAGCGGCGUCGCGGUUAGCGCAGCGGCCAGUUAUAGCGAGCUGCUCUACGCGCAUCUUCUCGACGCGGACGGCGCGCGGCUCACCUACACGCACUACACGGCGCGCGUGCCGCACCGCCACCUGCUCGACAUCAUGUUCAACCGGCCCGUCUACAUCCAGCGGAACAAGGUGUACAAAGUGGGUAUAGUGUUCAACAAGGCCGGCUGGUAUCCAAUGGGCGUGUGCGCACAACAGGUGGCGGCGGAGUCGGUGUUCUUCAACUUCGGCAUCGGGCAGAGCAGCGACAGCGUUCGCGACGGGCUCAUCCGCUCGGUCAUAUUCACGUACUAGCGCCCGCGACGCUUCCGGCUGCACGCGCACGGGACUAUGGCACAUGUGGCUGACGUGGACAGUUAGGAAACGUAAUGUUAUAAAGUUGAUAAUCGUGUGCAGAUAUGGCUUACGUGGACAGUUAGGAAACGCAAACUUUUAAUGCUGAUAAUCGUGUGCAGAUAUGGCUUACGUGGACAGUAAGGCCCAGAACAGACGGUGAAACGCAACUGCAACGAAACUGCAACUCUCUGAUGAUUCUUAUAAAUGAAACUGAAAGUUUCAA